UAUUCUGCCCCACGGGGAAGGAUGAGAAGCUUCGACCAAGGUUCGACUCGAGCGAAGCGAGAGAACGUUGCCGCAGGCAACGGCCCGAAGGGCGAGGCGCUUUAGCGCC
rnacentral:sRNA from 1 species